UUUAUCUCUCACAGACUAAAUUUUUUAUGAUUUGUUAAAUCGAGCUGGCAUGGCUUCAGUAAAGUCUUUAAAUACUCCAAUGGUUGUUUGCUCUUUAUUGUCUUUAAAUGACAGUCCUUUAUUCCAUGAUUCGUCUUUGUAUAGGAGUAUUGUAGGUGCUCUUCAAUAUUGUACUCUCACACGGCCAAACUUAUCUUCUUUGGUUAACAAAGUCUGUCAAUUUCUUCAUGCUCCCACUGUUAAUCAUUGGACUGUUGUGAAAGGAAUUUUGCGUUAUUUACAGGCAACUAGUAAUCUUGGUUUAGAUUUUUCAAAGUCCCGCGACUUGCCUAUGACUUGUUAUGCAGAUGUUGAUUGGGUUACUUGUCCUGUUGAUCAACGGAGUACGAGUGGUUUCUGUGUUUUUCUUGGAUCGAAUUUGAUUUCUUGGUCCUCGAGUAAACAAAAAAGUUGCAUCUCGCUUUAAUGUUGAGGCUGAAUAUCGAGUUCACUUGGAAGAUCAAUUAGGCGAUAUUAUGACGAAGCCCCUACUGAGUACUCACUUCUGUUGCCUUCGUAGCAAGCUCUCUAUUCAGCCUCAUCCAGUAUCGACUGAGGAUGGAUGAAAGAAUAUAUUUGCAGGGUUAUUUUUCUAUAUCUUCUUCAGGGCUAAAAAUGCUUUAUUCUUUGUUAUUCUUUUCUAUUAUCUUUUGGCCAAUCAUGUAUCUUCAUGUAGCGUGUAUUUCUCCUAUAUAUGUUGUACCUUAUUCCCUCUUUUGAAUCAGUGAAAUUUACUGGUUUUUCCUCAAUUUAUUGAAUAUUACUCAUAUUGGUAAUAUUUUAUGAUGUUUCAUGAAGGUUUUUACGAAAUAAUCGAAACUUAAUACCAUGUUUUAGAUAAUAUGAACAUUUUUACCAAAUAAUAGAAAUAUUAUUCACCCUGAUGUUAAUAUCUAAUCUAUAGAAAUUUAAUGUCAUACUUUGUAUGCAUAAUUAGGAAUCCCUAUUGUCUAUAAUAGGAUUUUUUUUUUUUUUCUUUUUUCUAAUAUGCAUAUUUUACAAAUCUGGUGGGGGCUUAAAAAAGAGUCAUGGAAAUAUUUUAAUACUCGUCUUUUUUUGGGACAAAAUUAAAUACUAGGAUGGAUUGUAAAAAUAUCUCUUUUUUUUUUUUUUAAUAAGAUUGGUAGAAGAUUUUAUAUUCGAGAAAUAUACACAUCUUUAUGCAUAUGAAAAUUAAGAUAAAAUGUAUUAAAGAUAAAUGUACCUAAAUAUUUUCGUAUAUAUAGAAUGUAUGUCAAAAUUAACUUAAUUCACAUAUAAUAUAAUCCUUGUGAGAUCGAAGGUACUUUCUAUUAAAUGUGAAAUAUGUAAUUAUUAAUAUAAAUAUUUGACGUUGGCUGUGGAUCUGAGAUACCAUCUUCACAAUCAUUGAGGAAAAGGGGGAAAAAUGAAUGGUUUAGGGUUAUUUCUGCUAUUCAUUUUCUCUGUUUUCUCUCAUUCAUUUGUUACCAUUGCCGCCUCAUCCUUUCACGAUGGCCGUCAAACGUUGCCGGAGCUGAAGCAAUCCACCAAAUGGUCCAAAUCUGCCUUCCUCUUCACCUCUCCUCCACCUCCUAGUCCUCCGGCGGCUUUCCUCUUCCUCUCUCCACCUCCUCCUGCGCGACGCUUCUUAAGAUCUCCUACUCCUCUACCUCCGAGUCCUCCGGCGGCAUUCCUGUUUCUGUCUCCACCACCUCCUUCUGCGUUUCUGUUUACCUCUCCGCCGCCGCCGGAGCGGUUGGUGGAGUGAUGUGAGAGACUGUACGGAGGAUCAAGUAGGGCGGAGGAACAGCAGAUGGGCUUUUUUCAAGCUAAAGCCCAUUCGUAAGGUAACACAAAAAGCUAAUGUGUGUAAUGUAAUUUUUGUUAAAACACCGAAAUAUAAAUUUACCCUUAUCUUCUCUUAUUUAUUAUUAUUAUAUUUUUUCCGUUUUGUUUUUCUGUUUUCUCACAAAUAAUUACGAGAAGAAAAAUAUUUAGGUGCAUCUCGGACAUCACUUAUAUUUGUACAUUCCAUCAAAUUAUCCAAUCAUAACUUGUCAUCUA